rnacentral:rRNA from 1 species
UGGCUCAGGACGAACGCUGGCGGCGUGCCUAAUACAUGCAAGUCGAACGGUCUUUCUAUGGAAGCUUGCUUCCACUGAGAAGAUAGUGGCGAACGGGUGAGUAACACGUGGGUAACCUGCCCAUAAGAGGGGGAUAACAUCCGGAAACGGGUGCUAAUACCGCAUAGUUUUCUUGAUUGCAUGAUUGAGAAGGAAAGACGGCCUUUGUGCUGUCGCUUAUGGAUGGACCCGCGGCGUAUUAGUUAGUUGGUGAGGUAACGGCUCACCAAGACGAUGAUACGUAGCCGACCUGAGAGGGUGAUCGGCCACAUUGGGACUGAGACACGGCCCAAACUCCUACGGGAGGCAGCAGUAGGGAAUCUUCCGCAAUGGACGAAAGUCUGACGGAGCAACGCCGCGUGAGUGAAGAAAGGUUUUCGGAUCGUAAAACUCUGUUGUCAGAGAAGAACAAGUUGGAGAGUAACUGCUCCAGCCUUGACGGUAUCUGACCAGAAAGCCACGGCUAACUACGUGCCAGCCGCUGC